rnacentral:ncRNA from 1 species
AUGCUGGAGGGGCCUAGCGCUGAGAGGGUUUACACCCGACUCCUUGCACCUGAUCCGGAUAAUACCGGCGUAGGGAAAGCAUU